UGGUGGAGUGCCGCAGCGAUGCAUCUCUCCAACAGCACCCUGGUGAGGCACGCUGGGAAUGGACAAGCAAAAUAUUUUGCGCCCCCACCUUUGACAAAAGUGUGUGAGAACAGGGGACACUAAAUUCUAUGGUAGUGGAGGCAGCUAAAAAUCCCAUGUGCCACUGGUUGAGAGAAAUUGUCAUUGUUUAGGGGCAAUUCAGAAUAUGACGCCCUCGUCAAUCUGCUACCACCUAACCCUGCCUAAUGAGCGGGCCGGCAGUGUUGUGUGUGUGUGUGUAUGAGCACUCGUAUGCGCGCGCGCGCGCGCGCGUGUGUGUGUGUGUGUGUGUGUGCGUGUGUGUGACCUCUCUUCAGUGGUUGAUGAAAAAAUUAGAGCACUGGUGGCCAAGGCUCAGCCUCAGAAAAAAACUCUCGAUCCUAUCAGUCUGUUACCGCGGCAACUGCUCUCUGACUGGGUUUUAACAGCUCUGUUGACCUUUGACCCCAACAGUCGGGUUCUCUCCUGCAGGGGCAUGUAAACACUCAGUCCUCCUGGAGGAAAUCUUCUGUCAAAACAAAGGAUUGCUGAGCCUGUGACUCUUGACUGCUGACCUUGUGACCUUUCAACCCUGAUAGUUUAGACUACAAUGGAGAGAUGCAGUCAGACUGAUCUUAUCCCCUUCCCCAAUCCAAACCUUAACCAUUAGUGGGGAAGAUGCAAAAGUGACCCAAGAUCAGCAGCUAGGGACAGGCUACACUAAGCAGGUUGAACAUAGUUGUAGUGAUGUUGAAACCAUGCUAGCUGUAUGCUGUCGGAGAUGCUGGUUUAUAUCUGUCUCUGCAGUCACCAAAACCUCUCUGUGCACUCUGAUAUAGGCUAUAGUAAUAUCAUGGUUGUUAUGAUAUCUGUUUGAUGCUUAAUGUCUGUUUUCUCUCUCUGUGCUGUGUGUGAUCAGACCAGACCCCAACGCCGACCCGUUUCCUGCGUAACUGUGAGGAGGUGGGUCUCUUCAAUGAGAUCGAACAGGAGUUCUGCCAGGCACAGGAGGAGCAGAACAACAAACAGACUCAGAAUCUCCCUCAGAAUGGAUCAUCAUGUGCCAAUCAGCCCCAGGCACAGCCCCACUCCCAACACCAACCACCGCCCCAUGGUAGUAUGAGGGGUCUAAGCUGCAGCAUGGCUGGCCAACAAGCACUGCCCUCUGCCCAGUCCAACUCAGUCAUCACCCAGGCCCCCUCCAUGCUCACACACUCAGGGUAAAUACACAGAGACAAAGAUUGACACAAACACACACACAAACAAACACACACACACACAAACAAACAAACACACACAAAAACACACAGAUUUUCUUUCUCAUCUCUUCAUCAUGUUACUGCCGCCUGCUUCCUGUCUCUCUCUCUCUCUCUCUCUCUGUUAUCUCCCCCUCCCUCCCUCCCUGUACCUCUCUCCCCCUCUUCUGUGUAACCAUCACUUGUUCUGUCUGGAGCUGGCUGUCAUUCCCCAGACAGUCUCAUUUAUUAGGCCUUUAUGAAUGAGAGAGAGAGAGGUGGAGAGGGAGAUGAGAGAGGGGAAGGUGGUGUGGUAACAUGGCUGUGGUUAUCACACGGCAGAACAGGGAGAUUAGGCAUGACUCUGCCUUUCCUCUCAACUCCUGACGUCUGGUCCUGCUUUCUAGAACCUGUCACACAUACAGUUACUAACUAAAUAAAGGUCAAAUUAAACAUUUAAACAUUCAAAUCAAUGUACUAACUAGAGAUAAAGGUAGCUUUACAUGUUAUCUGUUGUGUGUGAGGAAGAGAGUUGAAUUGUCUAGUCAUUCCAUGUGCUGGACAGAUGGUAUGUUAUUGAUAUCGUAUAACAAACCUUGAUGAACUCUUACGUCACUCCUCUGGCCAAUCGGUGACAUUCAUUGAUCAAUUCAGAAUCUACGUUUCAGAUCCUGUAGAUAGUGCUGCUAGAGGUCUAUUUCAGAUCCUGUAGACACUGCUGCUAGAGGUCUAUUUCAGAUCCUGUAGACACUGCUGCUAGAGGUCUAUUUCAGAUCCUGUAGACACUGCUGCUAGAGGUCUAUUUCAGAUCCUGUAGACACUGCUGCUAGAGGUCUAUUUCAGAUCCUGUAGACACUGCUGCUAGAG
rnacentral:lncRNA from 13 species